GUUUCUUUGGGGAGACAGCUGAAACCUCCAAGCUGUGCAUCCCUUCAACACUCGUCUUAUCCCACAGUUCAUCUAACUUAGUUGUUCGGCCCCAUCUUUUCAGCUUUGGGCUUCAAAUUCUUUCCCACUCCCUGAGGCAUGCUAUAUACUUGUUUUUAAAAUCUUGGAGAAUACAAAAUAAUUUGUUCUCCUGCCCAGCGUCUACAGAGUUAUUUGGGAACAGCAGGAUUUCUUUAAGGCUCCUGAUUGAGUUUCUCAUUUAAGUGCAGAAAAGCAACUUCUAUUCUGCACCCCUCUCAGCAGAUUGUAGUAAAAGAGGAGAGGGAAAAAAACAAACAGCAAAGCUCUGACAGAUGGUACCCAGCGUUUGACUCAUGCUGGGCUCAGCAGGACCUAUAGUUUAGAAGGUUAGGACUGUCAAAAAGACUCUGCUUAUCAAGUGAGUAACAAAGUGUGGACUGCCAGGCUGUUUCCUAUAGAAAACUUGCAUUUUACAUGUAAUUCUCAGCUAUCUUUCUGAUGCUUCCGAAACUUCUGAGGAGCAGAUGCAUGCUUUUCUAUUUAAGAAGCAGUGGGAAGCUGCCCUGCUGGGAGCAGCCGGCAGCACGGCCGGCCGGGGGCUGCGGGGACCUCCGAGUAAACCAGGGAGCAAGGGCAGGACUCUUCUUCUUCAUUCUCCUUCUCUCGCAGUUCAUUCUCUCUUCAAUGCUUGCCCCAGUCUGAGGACUGCCUUAGCAAAGCGAUGUGGCAAAAUGCAAGCAAAGGCAGAAGGGUCAGAGCACGAGGCAGCGCUUACCAGGCUUUUCUUUUUAAGUCAUUUCCGAGCUCAUGCCAGUCAGCAUUUAUCGCAGCACAGAAGUGUCUGAUGUGACUACAAACAUUAGUGAGCAGACCUGAAGGCAAUCUGAAGUCUGGAGAAGUGCAAAUAAGAGGUUAACAGCUUGUACCCCUGUUCACUGGACCGUCAAACCCUCGACCCUGGUCAGUCAGUGCAGAGCUUUCAGUAACAGCAACACGCCAAGAGUUCAUUCUGCUAUUUAUGAGAGGUAUCCUGUACUUCGUAUCAAUCCACUCACUCUACAAACUGACUUCUAGCUACACGAGAGGCUGCAGUAAGAUGGUGCUGUGCUGUACAGUGCUCCUCCAUCCACUCUGCAAAGCCCCCCGGCAGCUGCCAGGAGAGGCCGCAGCUGUACAGAAGCUGAUGUAUAACCACACAAAGGCUGCACUGAAGCCAAGAUAUUUCAUAAUCUCCAUUUUAUUUCUUCGAAGCAAAACACAAGCUGAUUUCUCCAACACUGAAAGGAAAGAAAAUAGCCUCCACCCUGCUAAUGAUCCCUCAGGGGAGGCACCAUCAAGAAGCAACACUUCUUGUAGCAGAGAAAAGCCACGGCUGCUGCUGUCCCAGCAUGCAACAUCAGCCCUGAGAGUUAUCUGCAGCCCACAGACAUCAACUAAUCUCAGCGGGUGAGGAACGAAGCCUCUCCCCAUGGGAACUCAGCUGAUUCAGGGAGGGAGGUGAGCAGCAAAGGAGGUUUCUGAAAACAAACCACUGAGCUUCCCAGAGCCCCAAUAAUGUCCAUGCACUCCCCAGAGGGGAUUUGCAGAAAGACAAGAAUAUGGCUGGACAGAAAGACACACAGUUGGAAACAUCCAUUGAAUGUGGCACUGGGAACAGGGAAGAAGGCAAAAAGGAGACAUUUAUUCUUUUUCCAUGAUUGUUUUAUUCUCUCAUUUCAAACCUCUGUCCCAAUUCAACUCCUGUCUAAUGUGCCUGCAGUGACAACCAGAAAAAAUGGCAUUAAUUGUAUUUAUCUCAAUUUACCUUCUUCUUGCUGCCAAGAGAGCAUCCAGUCAUUCUUGACCUGGAAAACCUUUGCCAUCUCAGAGGGAUAGCAGCAUUUCCAUUACUCUCCUACUCCCUAGUUCAGCCUUUCCCAGAGAACAGAGCACAAAUCCAAUGUUCCACCAGCUCUGCUACCAAAGAAAAACCACAUUCAUUUAUGACAAAAGCAUGGGUGAAAAUCAAAGUAGUAAGAAGGAGGAAACAUUUGAAAAGUCAUGAAAUACUAACAUGAUGAGUCUCCUACUCUGUUCUUGCUGCUUUUGAAAGGAUUAAAAUCGAUAUUGGUAUUUCCAAGGAAUUUCUAUGCACAAAAAACUUAAUCUGAGCCAGGCCUUCAUGCCAAUAAAAAUGAUUGUAAUGGUGUCAGAACAAAGAUCCAUCUAAUCCACCAGGUGGUAACUAAAAGAAGAUGCCAGAGCAAGGUAAGCACAGUGAUACUUUCCCAAAUGCUCUUCCAGGCUCCAACAAUUUGUGGCUCACGAACUCUCUGAGACAUAUGUUGUCAUGUAUUUAGUAUCCCUAACAAACUAUUUUUCCUGAGCUUGUCCUGCAUCCCCUUGAUCCUAGUUAUGCUCCAGUAUCCAUAAUAACUGAGGCAAGGAGCCAGUUUAACUACACACUGUUAGAAGAAUGACUUCUACCUCCACUCAGUAGAGCUUCCUUCAAGCUUUCCUUAGUACAAAAACCUAACAGCUGAGUAUGCAUGAAAAACACUGGCUGUUCCUAAAAAUCUGCUUGAAUUUUAUCAUAUUAUUCCACAAUUCCUGCUGGAAAUGGGAGAAAAAAAAAAACAAAGAAAAAAAAUAGGGAAAAGAAAACGUACAAAAAAACCAAACCAAAACAAAACUGAGCAACUAGGAAAGAAAAGAAAGUGACUACCUGCAAUGAAACAGGUCACUGUAUCAAAACAGAGAAUCUGCAAUUCCUACUUUAAGGACCCAAAGAAUUCUCCCAGACAAGUUUACACAUCUUUUGAAUAUCUGCCCAAGUAUCUCAGCAAGUAGAAAGAUGUUUAAAAUUACCAUUCCCUCUCUCUCUUGACGGCAUACUUGGAGAUGGUUAGAUGCCGUAUUUAUUCCAUCAGGCUCAUGAAAUAAGUCACACCCAAGAAAUGUGCUCCAGAGAUGCCCAUUUCAGACAGUAGAGUAUGACUAACAAGCACGGAGGUCUGUGGUCUUCCCAGUUUUGGUCAAUCCACCUCCCACUUGGACCAUAUCUCAGCACAGACAGGGAAGCCACACAAAGCUGUCCACCCUUUUGGAUGACUCUACAGUCCUGAUGGAGCAAGAGCUUGGGGCACACACUGCAGUGAGCCACCCACACACAUAGGUUUAUGCACAUUCUGAUGAUUCAUAAACCCAGAUCUAACAGCAGAAUUGAGCCUUUUGUUCAUUAAUUUGGAACGAAGCAGCAGCUAACAUUUUUUACAGAUGACUGUCAAGGCAAAAUCCUGGACUGAACAAUUCUGCUUAUCUAAAAUGAAUUUCAGCUACACCCUUUAAGGCAAAGCCAUCUCUAUUAAAAGAAAUAAAGAAAAUCCCUAAAUCAUAAUCCUGGAACAUUCAGCCAGAUUCUGUACUCUGUGCAGUCCAUUGUCUAAAUUUUGCAGGGAUCCUCUUUACAACAAAUAUUAUUACUGUGCUACAUAAUCCCUACCCAAGGUGGACUAGUUAAGGAUGGAUCUGUGUAGUCUUAACUGCAAAUUCUUCUGCUUUUGGGUGUUCUUGCUGAGUCUUUAAUAACAAAGCUUUGAAAUUUAAUUACUGUCUUAACAGUUGCAACUAUUAUACUUGAGAUAAAUGCAAGAUGAGUAACAAGCAUGUAAAGGGGGAAUUAACUUUAGUCAAAAAGGAAAUAUAUGAGUAAAUUUUUAUUCAUCAAUAGAUUUAACAAAAUUAACUUUAGUGUUAUAUAUGUCAAGUCCAAUUUUCAAACCACUGGAGAUCUUCCUUCUCACUCCUUCCAGCAAAUUCUAUUCAAUCACUAAUUAUGAAUGAGAGGAAGAGCUGCAAAUCAAAACCAGGAAGGUGAGCAGGCAGUGAGAAGAUGCACAACUGCCAGUUGACUUUACUGCAAGCAUAAUGUGGAAAACGUGCAGCACAGCCACUCAGAUGACUGCCCAUAACAUUCUGAAGAAUUACAUCAGAAGAGAAGAUGACCACACAAGAUUACACUGGCAGACAGCUGAACGAGUCUAAUGCACAAAGCUAGCAUGAGAGGGGCUACGGACAGACAAAAGGCUGCUCUGACACAAAGAUACAUUACCACAUUCCCUUAUUUACAGAAGAGGAAGGAUUAACAAACUGUGUUUCAGCAAUAGAGAGGAGGAAAGCAUUUCCAGACUUUUUUAUACGAUCAAUCAUUUUCUAUGACCUCCCCACAGCAUUGUUGCUCAUAUUUGCAAAAAAGAACACCAAAGAAGACACUGAAAAAGUAGAACCAGUUAGCAGUCUUCUAUCUUUACUGCUGUUUACUUGAUGACGUAGGCAAAGUUUUAGGCAAUAAUGUGCCUGUGAAAAUGGAUGGGGCCCUGGACAGCCUGACCUAGUGGGUGGCAACCAGCCCAUGGCAGGGAGUUGGAAGUAGAUGGGCUGUAAGGUCCCUUCCAACCCAAGCCAUUCUUAGUUGAUGGUUCUAUGCACAGUUGCCAAUGUAAAGUGUAAACAGAUCACAGCAUACACUGUAUAUAUUCAACAAUAUUUACAAAACUAUACAUUUAGAUGUCAGUUCUGCAAGUGAGUUGACUUUCUCAUGCACCCAUGUAUAUUCAUAAAGCAUUACUUGUCCACUGAGUACAAAAUACCAAACAAGACUACAGGAUUAAAUUUCUCUAGAAUAUUUAGUAAAAUAAAUUAAUUUUGAUAACAUAAGACAUUGCAAUGUUUUUUCUUAGGCACAGCAGGUGCUACAAGAUGGAGAGAGAGACACAUGACACUAUUUUGUGCUUUAAGUAGCAGGACUGGGAACAUUAUCCGUGUAAAAAAGAAAUAGUUACUGGGUCAAAAGCAUUGGCCUCUGAGAGCUUUCUUCAGAUAGAAAUAAUAUCCCAUUUGGACAAACUUUUCUUCCUCCUUCUAUAAGCUUCUUCUUUACUCUUCUGCUAUUUUCCAACAUAUUCUAACAGCUAUAUUAUUUCUGUAUGUAUCAAUUUAUACUAUUUAUGAACACCUAUGUAUAUCAUUACACACAUAAAAAUAGUGUUGAAAGAAUUUAGAAGUCCAGCCUCCAAAUGUCAGGAAAUGACAGGAUUCAACUUGCACAUUAUUACACACUUAAAAAACGAUAACAGCGACAACCAAAAAACCUCUUCAUGGUUUCUACACAUAUGAGCACAAAAGAUGUCGAGAAUAUAUAGGAUACCAUGAUCCAAAAUGUCUUUGUAAUACAAGGCAUGCUGGUCAUAAGAAGAUUUCGAGAUCUUUUUACUUCUUUUGCUAGAGAUUCUUCAAAUAUCAAAUAUAAUAUAACGGCAGUGUUGUUUCUUUCUAAAUGCAGUACUAAAACUGAUAGGGAACUUCUAAGCUUCUGUGUUCUGUAAGGCAGAACAUUAGCUUAAGAUUGUAAAAAAAAAAAAAUCACUGCAAAGUUCAGUUUUUACCCAAUUUACACUGAAUUUCUAAAACUAAGAAUCCCCCUCUUCAUCUUAAUACGUUUGUUCUCUCACCAAAGAAAAACUUUCUGACAGAAGCUAGAAACUUUCUGUCAUCUAAAAUUUUACGUACUAAGUUCACAGAAUUCAUAUUCUCAUCCAGUGGAACUAGACUUCCAUAUUUCCAAUCUUCCUUCAAACGAAGACAUUACAGAAAGGCUCCCAAGCUUGCCAGUUGUGACACGUAAGUUAUUACCUCUAUGAGUCACUAAUUUUAGGUUCCAUAGAAAGUUCAAGGUCACCUAAUUAUGUGAUUGAUUAUAUCUCAUCUUGGAAUUUUGAGGAUCUCCUCAAGAGUAGUAUCUCCUCUGAUAAAUCAACAGGAAGACAGUUUCAGACCAUUCUGCCCAGAGAACUCUAGGCUUACAGGCUCUUUUGAGAAACCAUCAGCACUGCAACUUCUCCAAGCCCUGUGAAUGCACUGCGCUGGCUGAGAUUGCAACCACCAAGAACUCUGCCAGUUUGUUGCCAAAGUCCUUUACGUAGAUUCACAAUUGCAACUUGUAAAUUGCAUGCAGAAACAGCUAAAGCUCUUGAAACUCAAAAACAUUUCUAGCUUGACCAGUGUGGCCAGCAGGGUUGUAAUUUCUGUGAAUCUAGUAUCUGGGGUUCUUGGAAUUUACCAGCUCUGUUGGCAAAACAGUCACAUCUUGUAAUUGCCAUGUGAACAGGAACGAGUUUCAAGGAACUUACAAGCUCCCCAGGACAGCUGGAGGAAACUGCAAAUGUAGUUCGACAGAUACCUAGUGUUCAUGGAAAUCUGCCAAGCCUUUUCGGAAAACAAAUCAUAGUUCAUGAUGGUUACAGUUUUUUCAGUGUUGGAACUACAGUGAGGUCCCCUGCAGAGGUUGUACUCCCUGCUGAAUGCCAGAAUAAGACUCUGUCUUUGCUGGAAAUCUAAGUUGCGUUCUUGGCUGUGUACCUAAAGAAGAACAGAAACUUCCCUGGAGAUCUCUGCAGAUUCUACCAUAUGCCUGAAAAAUACUGUAAAUGUUGAUCUAAUGCAAAUUGACUUCAACAGGUAAACUGUUGAAGAUGUAAUCUGUAUCAUUUAUCUCACAUCAAAUAAAACAGGCACCAGAGGAGCAAGCAAAGGUUGAACCCUCAUAGUUCUGGAAGGCUUGAUGAAAGGUUCGUCUCCACAUGAAGCAGAGCAGAAGACUGUGCAAAUAGAAGUGAAGAGGAUCAACGUAGCACUUGGAAAAUAAUUGUUUCAAUCGUGGAAAAUAAUCUAAGACAAAGCCAUCAGUUUUAACAGUUCCAUACAACAGAAAGUUCGAGUAUCAUCAUAUCCCAGUCUCAGAGAUGAUCUCUCUUCCCAAAAUGAGCUGAAGCAUAUAUCCAAAUCUAAAAUUCUUUAAUACAUUGACAAUUUUUGGAACAAGCUCUGGAUAUACAGCCCGGGGAGCUCUUCUGUACAUUGCAUGAUAUGAGAAUUGUGAAAGACCUUUUCCCCAGAGAACACGAUGCCUGUGGUCUGUUGUCUAAUAUUUCAUCUUUCCAUUUCUGGGCUGACAUUUGAACUGUAACUAUACAGUUCUUUUUAAAAUAUUUGCACAUUUUUGUUCUCCUUCCAGUAAACACAGCUUUUCAACCACUAUGAGCACUGGAUUCAAACACACCUCAUGCUGCCAUUUUACCACUAGAGGGCAGCUCAAUAUUUAUUGAUCGUUCUCAUUAGCUCAAAGAAUUAAUUUCACUGCAUUCCUAACCAAUGGGUCCACAACACAUAACUUUAGCUCGAGAGUCUUAUAAGAACCUUCAUUGUUUUAAGGAAAAACACGGUGGUUGCUAUUUGAAUCACUAGCUUAUCAUGUAGUGCCCUUUAAGAGGUAUGCAGUAUCCCUAUACACCAAUUUCCAAAGGAACUGUGCUCAGUUUUGGAAACAACCCUAUAUUUUGCCAGGGUUCCAUUUGUUUCAUUGGUGUAUUUCUUAUCUCGUAGGCUUAUGGUGUUUCUCUGCUGCUUGUAAGUCCAUAUGCUUUAAACAGCAACAACAGCAAUUUAUCAAAACCCGUGUUUUUAAAGGUCAGCAUUCUUUUAUUAUGCACAUUUACUUAAAACCACAAAUCUAUGUUAAGCAAUUUUCAACAGAAAAGAACUGUCUGAUUCAAGUUUCCUUAUUUUUUUCUUUUUUCUCUGCUAUCAAGUCCUCUGUAAUAUGUAUAAAUCUCCACCGGUGUCAGACCACACCCUCAAACCAACAUUUAGGACAUUUAAGAUUUGCCUAUUUGUAUGUUCUCCUCUUUAAACUCAUCCAUCCUGAGCCAACAAGUGAUCGCUGUCAAUCAGAUCACAGGAGCUCUCCCACUGACCUCAUACUCAGCUCCAUUCCUUGCUCGGGGUCGGCAGGCUCCACCACACCUCUACACACAGUUUAAGUCAAUGUCUGAUUUAAAUGGGGCUCUAACCACAGAUCUGCACAGACAGAAAGCAAAAGGAUCCUUCAGAUAAGCCCCACAGAAGUUUUCCCAUCCCAUCCUCUUCAAGUGACUCAACAGACAAUGUUACCACAUCUCUUGGUGCCCUUAACUGACAAGUUCCCUUAAUUUUGGUCCUUUAUUCUUCUGAAAGCAGCCAUGAGUUGUAUGGAUUACUGCGGUUUCAAAGCCAGCAACUAAUUGUGCCAUCAUACUCAAGCAAAGUGUGGAUUGAGUUUCCAGCCUCAUUCAGAGACCCAUC
ensembl:lncRNA